GUGCCAAAUUAUUUGAGAGCUGCCCUAGAAGCAUAUGAGCGUACAGAAAAAUAUUGAACGCAUUCAGAACCAUGGUAAAACUGUGUUUCUUUUGGCUUUUUCUUUCAUUAUACACCAUCAUAAACGCAGGAUCUCAUUCUCUGUUGGCAUUCGCAACUUGUAUCUCAGGAGAAGCACCUUUCCCUGAGUGUAGUGUUGUGUUGAUGCAGGAUGACAUUCAAGUUGGCUACUUUGACUCCAACACGGAGCAGUUUAUUCACAAGGGACCUUACGCCCCAGACGAAACAGAGGUUGACGUAGCCCAAGAUGCAGCUAAUGUGUUUGGACACAUGUUCCUCAGCAUGAAAAGACGACUGUCAGACCUGAGGUAUCACUUUAAUUCCACAGGGAAUAUAGAUGUUCAGCAGAGAAUGGCUGGCUGUGAGAUGUUGGAUACUGGUGAACCAGGCCUUAUUCUGUCCACAGAUGCUUUCAAUGCAAUUUUAGCUGAUUUAAUAUAUUACAACAUGACACAUUAUUCAUACAAUUCCGGAAACCUACUGUCGCCAUGGAGUGAGGUGCAUCAAACAUAUGUAAAAUGGCAUUAUCAGACCAUUUACCUUCCCAUUUGCAUAAAAACAUUGAAGAAAUUUCGGGAGAGAUUGAAGAACUUUGCGAUGCGUAAAGUGCGUCCCAGAGUCAGGCUCACAGGAGCCCGUGUGAGCUGUCUGGCGUUUGGUUUUUACCCCCGCCACAUCAAUCUGACCCUGCUGAGAGACGGCCAGCCAAUAGUAGAACAGGACAUGACUGGGGGCCAGUUGCUGCCCAAUGGAGAUGGGACCUACCAGCUGAGAAAGAGUCUGGAGGUCAACAUAGAGGAGCUGAGUGAGAGACACAACUAUACCUGCACCACCUCCCACCUCAGUCUGGACAACAAGCUGGAUGUCAGCUGGAUACCUGAGUCUGGGAUCGACAGAGUGGGUCUUUAUGUCAAGUCAGGUCCACUGGGCAUGGUGGCCAUAAUUAUUCUACUCAGUAUUUUGGUUUGUGUAAGGAGGAGAAACGCAGCUGGCUCCCAGACAUCGUCACAGCUCUCCAAUGCUAAUGAUGCCCAAGUGGCUGAGCAAAUGAGCCUAUCUUCACAUUCUGAGACCUGAUAUAUUUGCUGCUGCCACUCAUGCAAAGACUUCAAAGUGAAAAGCCAAUACAAUGAAGGCUGAUCUAAAUUAUACAGUAUAUAUCCUAAUAAAGACACGUAUUUUUAUGAUGCAGUGGUGUAUAAGCAAUCCUAAAAUGUGUACUGACAGUACUAUGACGUAUGUAUUGAUUUGAUAUGUAAAAAAGUGUUUUGUUCUGCAUUAAAGAUCCAUGAAAAAAUCAUCAUGACACAAAAAGAUCAUUGGAGUUUGGUUAAGUACAAAUGAGGAGCAGGAAAUCUUACCCUAGAACAAAAACAGAAUAUCAGAAAUACUGUUUUUUUUAUUUCUUUUACCUUUAUUUAACCAGGUAGGCAAGUUGAGAUCAAGUUCUCAUUUACAAUUGCGACCUUAUCUUGCUUAUCACACCGUAUUUCACAUCAGAUACCAUAGGAUAUGAAUAUUCGGUCAGAUUCUUGAUGUACUGUAUUUUAUUAGAGGGGCAGCAGACAUCGGCCAGCUCCAGGGGCUGCAACUCUACUUCACACCACAUGGUGUCGCUCCAAAUUACAAUUAGCCCUCUACCAGAAACUCAAUUAGGUUGCCGGAUUUAUGUGUAAUUCCAGUUCCCAGUCCAUUCUGACAUAGACUACACAAAGAUAUUGAAAGGGGAUAUCGCACAGAGACAGUAGUCUAUUUUAUGAAUACAUGUCAUGCUAUGAUAGGCUACAAGAUGAAACUUUUUUUUAAACUUAUGAAUGAGACUUAUUAACAAUUCUUGAAUAAGAUCGGCAUUGUCCACAUUUCAAAUAAUACAUAGUUAAAUAAAUUGUUAAUUAGUUUAAUUAGUUAAAAAUGUUUUACCACAUUCUGUUCAAAAACUGCCCAGUGAUAGAAGACGGAAAUAUCAGGGUCAGGGAUAUAAAUAAAACGUAAAAGUAUAACACGUACUGUAUGCCCGGUAAGCAUUACAUCUCUGACCGCUUAGAGACACACACAAGUUGUUUACAAACACAUAGCUACCGGGGAUGACGCCAGCCAGCGGAGCAUCAUCCUAGGAAUAGAAAACGGUCAAUGAUAGGCCUUUACCGUAAAAUCAUGCACAGUGCGUUUUCUCAAUUCAAUUCAAGGUGCUUUAUUGACAUGGGAAACAUAUGUUAACAUUGCCAAAGCAAGUGAAGUAGAUAAUAUACAAAAGUGAAAUAAACAAUAAAAAUGAACAAACAUUACACUCACUAAGAAUUUCUCUCUCCCUUUCCCUAUCUCUCCCUCCUCUCUCUCUCUCCCGCCUCCUCCGAGUCACCGCCCCGGCUGUGGGACGGGGAGACUUUAAAACCAGUCUUGAGACGCCGGACACUGUCAGAGGGACAGCGCUUUGCUUUAGCAGACUAGUAGCGGACAGAGCGCGCAGAGUGCAAACACGUUGUUAUUGGAGAUACCCGCGGAGUUUACUUCGUCCCGAACAAGUUCAUUAUACUGGAUACUUUUGAGAUUCACAAGACACGAAAAAUGAAGUCUCCAAAGUUGAAGUCUCAAGGCAAAUCUACAUUCCUUGAGGAGGAUGAUCUGUCUGACGUGCUGUGUGAGUUCGACGCGGUGAUCGAGGAUUUCACUUCCCCGAUUGAGAAGAGACAUUUCCAGUACGACGAGCACCUGAAGACCGUGAAGAGACGGAGCAGUGCCAGCGUCAGUGACAGUGGCAUCAGCGACUCAGAAAGCGCUGGGUCGCUCAACAGGAACAGCUUCAGUUUCAGUGAUGAGAGACUGAACUCUCCCAAUGUCUUUUCUCCCUCUCCCACCUCCCCCCCACCUCUCACAUCACCCAGAGCCAAACUGGGAGACACUAAAGAACUGGAGGACUUCAUUGCUGACCUUGACAAGACGUUAGCAAGCAUGUGACACGGAGCCGAAGAGAAGUGGCAGAGACCAUUUUUUGGAGAGUAGCCAUCGCGAGGAGGGGACACCCUGUCCAGCACCCCAGAACAUGCACACACACACACCAGGAGUGCUGUGAACAUAGCACAGGGACAGUCAUAGUGACCGUCAGACUUGCUGAGCAACUUCAUCUCAAGUCUGUGUCCCAAUAUUAUAAGACAGCGUCAUCUCCUUGUCUCCUUUCCUUCUCGUCGUCUCAUUUCCCUCAUGAUCUGAGCUGAUUGGACUGGAUUGUUUUUUCUAGGUUUGCAGGGUAAGAAUGGGCUAAUCUGAAAUGGAACCUCGUGUUCUAUUGCACUAUAUGGCAUAGAGUGAUAUUUCUUACGCAGCCCAAGUUUAUAAACUAUUAGCAGUCAUGGAAGAGAGGAGACUAGGGGAGGAGAUUAAGAAGGAGACAAGGAAAGGAAGCUUUGUAAAAGUAUUGGGACACUGUUAGACAGACAAACACCAUCUCACAUACAUGGGACAGGCUGUGCGUCCUUUAUACAUAACUUGAGCUGGAAGAGUAUUUAAGAAAUGUCUUUUUACAAUAUAAGUAUAUUUGUAAUUGUAUAGAGCUGGUCAUUGUAAAUGUAUCAAUACUACUUUUUUUGUGAAAUAUAUUUUUGUAUCUAUGUGUAAAUACUAAUUGUUUCAAAUUCUAUUGCCUUGGUAUUAAAAAGUGUAUGAUAAGUUUAAGGUUUGGCACACGUUGACUGAAGUUGAGAUGUUUGAUAUUUCUAACGAAUGCAAACUAAAAUCUGGAUUAGCUCUGAAAAACUGGAAUGCAACAAAAUGUAUUGAAUACAGCUAAUAUCAAUUGCCUACCAGAGAAUAUUAAAAUUAAAUAUUGUUUUAAAAUA